GCUCUCUCUCGUCUCUCAUGUGCUGUGUCAUAAAAUAUUAGCACAUAACUAGCACAGAGAGGAAAACCCGAGAGCUCCUUUGAAACACAUGCCCAGAGUCUCCUAAACAGUAAAAGUCUUGGUAUUUCGGUAUUGGAUUUUCAAAUAAGACGCCUUCAUCUCUCAAUUGAGAUUUAGCUGUGGAGAGAGGGAUUUUUAUUGAAGCUGUAAUUCUGCGGAAGUGCGGAGUCAGGUGAUCGGGUUUUUAACAAGAGCCCGGUUUAGCCUCUUUAAAGUUUGUUUCAUUUGGGAAGAAGGAAUUCUGGUGUCUUCUGGGGGUUUUGGAUCGAGUUCGUGGCUUUAAAGUGGAUAUCUUGAGCUGGGUUCGCAUCAAGUCCUUUUUUGUUUUGUUUUUUCUGUGAACCACCUCCAAUCAUCUUUGCUUCCGCGAUAAGUGAGGGCUUGAUUAGUAGUCUCUUGUUUUUGCGUUUAAGUGAUUUGUGACUGUUUUUGUAAUUUGUUAACUGUGGUAAUGGGGAUAAUUCAUUGAAAUUCUC